AAUUCAAGCAGUUAUAUUUCACCACGUACAGUCUGGAAAGAAGAGUUUUCUAGAAUCAAGGAAGAAAAUAAAAGCUCUGUUGGUUUGCUCCUGCAUUUGCUAUGCCUUUCUAAUUAAAUGAUUGGAAGGACUUCAUUAUUGACUCCUGCUGGCCGACAUGACACUAAAAUGAUACGCAUCUCAAUCUGCAUACUCCAAGCCAAAACCCAACAUGCCAUGUGCACUGCACAUGUCCUUCCAAAGGCUUUGGGUCUGGAUCCUCCUUCCCACUGUGGCCAACAUUGCUUUGUCCUCAUCAAGAACUGGCAGAUCCAAGGAGCAUACCCAAGAUGACACCACAGCCUACAUGCUCCUUCGGCACCUACAUGCCCUCUCGGCAGCCUACAUGCUCUCGGCACCUACGUGCUCUCUCGGCACCUACAUGCUCUCUCGGCAGCCUACAUGCUCUCUCAGCACGUACAGCAGGUUCUUCAGCCGUGCCCAGGAGGCCUGGGGCUCCGCGGUGUAUCUCUGAGCUGGGUUCUAGACCUCCCACCCCACUUCCAUCACUGCAACUUCUGUUUUACACGUUGGAAAGGGGCUUCUUAUAAUAUGCCGCUUAAGAAAAAGACUGAAUUUUUUUAAAAUAAAAAAUAUACUGGCCUAUGUCAUUAAAAUGAAAUAUAUCCCAAUAAAGUUGUAAAGCAAAAAGCAAA
rnacentral:antisense_RNA from 1 species